CCUACGGGUGGCAGCAGUGAGGAAUAUUGGUCAAUUGACGAGAGUCUGAACCAGCCAAGUAGCGUGAAGGAUGACUGCCCUAUGGGUUGUAAACUUCUUUUAUAUGGGAAUAAAAUGUUCCACGUGUGGGAUUUUGUAUGUACCAUAUGAAUAAGGAUCGGCUAACUCCGUGCCAGCAGCCGCGGUAAUACGGAGGAUCCGAGCGUUAUCCGGAUUUAUUGGGUUUAAAGGGAGCGUAGGUGGAUUGUUAAGUCAGUUGUGAAAGUUUGCGGCUCAACCGUAAAAUUGCAGUUGAAACUGGCAGUCUUGAGUACAGUAGAGGUGGGCGGAAUUCGUGGUGUAGCGGUGAAAUGCUUAGAUAUCACGAAGAACUCCGAUUGCGAAGGCAGUUCACUGGACUGCAACUGACACUGAGGCUCGAAAGUGUGGGUAUCAAACAGGAUUAGAUACCCGAGUAGUC
rnacentral:rRNA from 1 species